AGCAGUAGCCGCGGUAAUACGUAGGGUGCAAGCGUUAAUCGGAAUUACUGGGCGUAAAGCGUGCGUAGGCGGCUUUUUAAGUCGGAUGUGAAAUCCCUGAGCUUAACUUAGGAAUUGCAUUCGAUACUGGGAAGCUAGAGUAUGGGAGAGGAUGGUAGAAUUCCAGGUGUAGCGGUGAAAUGCGUAGAGAUCUGGAGGAAUACCGAUGGCGAAGGCAGCCAUCUGGCCUAAUACUGACGCUGAGGUACGAAAGCAUGGGGAGCAAACAGGAUUAGAUACCCCGGUAGUCCCUGUCUCUUAUAC
rnacentral:rRNA from 1 species